UACUGUAUCGUUAUUUUAAAGUUUUAAUAGUCUACAUGUACCCCAAAAUGCCUGACUGUUUUAAUGUUGUAGUCUGUAACCGGUGGGCUGUGAUUCUCUUUUUCAUAGAGUGUCAAGAAACUGUCUGAAGCAUGUAAUAUCAACAGUUUUGUGAGCGCUGUCUGAAAUGAGGCCUGCAAAAUGUGAACCACGUUGUAGCAAUCACUGCUGUAAAUCCGACAUCUAUACGUUCAUGCCUGCGUAGGAGAAGGACAU